rnacentral:sRNA from 1 species
UUGAUCGCUGAAUUCCAGUUGUCUGGAAGCGGGGGAACCACAAAACUAUGGGGUGAAUCCUGUGUAGAAACCAUUUCUUCACAGGUAGGGCGACUUUUCACGCCCGAAUCCGUCAGCUAACCUCGCAAGCGUUUGGAAAGAGG